GCCUACGGGGCGCAGCAGUGAGGAAUAUUGGUCAAUGGCCGGAAGGCUGAACCAGCCAAGCCGCGUGAAGGACGAAGGUGCCAAGCAUUGUAAACUUCUUUUGUCAAGGGACAAAAUCAGGCUCGAGAGCCUGACCGAGGGUACUUGAAGAAAAAGCAUCGGCUAACUCCGUGCCAGCAGCCGCGGUAAUACGUAGGGGGCAAGCGUUAUCCGGAUUUACUGGGUGUAAAGGGAGCGUAGACGGCAUGGCAAGUCUGAAGUGAAAGCCCGGGGCUCAACCGCGGGACUGCUUUGGAAACUGUUAA
rnacentral:rRNA from 1 species